GGCCAGGGAGCUCGCCAUCGACGCCGGUCGGGUCGGGUCGAUCGAUCCCUCGCGCGCGACGGUGCCUGCGUUUGCGUGUGGUGGUGGGCGAGGUGGCCUCGUUGCGCCCGCAGCGGUGGCCUCCCGCCGGUUCAAAUGGGGUUCGCUUCGCUCACCGGUCGGAUUUUGCGCCACGACGGCGGUUUCUCUGCCUCACUCCACACCGCAAAUUUCCCCGCAUGCAUUUUACUCCUGCGUACAUCGUUCCCUGCUUCUUUGUGUUUUUUUUUUCAUUGAACAGGACUAAGAGUGAGCGUUCGUCCCUUAGCCUUAGUGCAUGAACGCUUGCGUAGUCUUCUAGCUCCCCUCUUUCUCUCUGGAUCGCAGUCUUGCACCCUUCGUUUUUUCACUGUCCACGUCGGCACCGUCCCUUGUUACGG
rnacentral:lncRNA from 1 species